AUUGAACGCUGGCGGCAGGCUUAACACAUGCAAGUCGAGCGAGCGGCGGACGGGUGAGUAAUGUAUGGGAAACUGCCUGAUGGAGGGGGAUAACUACUGGAAACGGUAGCUAAUACGGCAUACCAUCAGAUGUGCCCAGAUGGGAUUAGCUAGUAGGUGGGGUAAUGGCUCACCUAGGCGACGAUCCCUAGCUGUUCUGAGAGGAUGACCGGCAAACUGGGAACGGAGACACGGCCAAGACUCCUACGGGAGGCAGCAGUGGGGAAUAUUGCACAAUGGGCGCAAGCCGGAUGCAGCCAUGCCGCGUGUUUGAAGAAGGCCUUCGGUUUGUAAAGCACUUUCAGCGAGGAGGCGUUACUCGCAGAAGAAGCACCGGCUAACUCCGUGCCAGCAGCCGCGGUAAUUC
rnacentral:rRNA from 1 species